CAGAACAUAAUUUAAUAAGAAUGUUGGCUUUGGGGGCCAGUAGUAGAGGUUUAACUCCUUUUGUUCUGA
rnacentral:tRNA from 1 species